rnacentral:rRNA from 1 species
AUGACGAACGCUGGCGGCGUGCUUAACACAUGCAAGUCGAACGGAAAGGCCCUGCUUUUGUGGGGUGCUCGAGUGGCGAACGGGUGAGUAACACGUGAGUAACCUGCCCUUGACUUUGGGAUAACUUCAGGAAACUGGGGCUAAUACCGGAUAGGAGCUCCUGCUGCAUGGUGGGGGUUGGAAAGUUUCGGCGGUUGGGGAUGGACUCGCGGCUUAUCAGCUUGUUGGUGGGGUAGUGGCUUACCAAGGCUUUGACGGGUAGCCGGCCUGAGAGGGUGACCGGCCACAUUGGGACUGAGAUACGGCCCAGACUCCUACGGGAGGCAACAGUGGGGAAUAUUGCACAAUGGGCGGAAGCCUGAUGCAGCAACGCCGCGUGCGGGAUGACGGCCUUCGGGUUGUAAACCGCUUUCGCCUGUGACGAAGCGUGAGUGACGGUAAUGGGUAAAGAAGCACCGGCUAACUACGUGCCAGCAGCCGCGGUGAUACGUAGGGUGCGAGCGUUGUCCGGAUUUAUUGGGCGUAAAGGGCUCGUAGGUGGUUGAUCGCGUCGGAAGUGUAAUCUUGGGGCUUAACCCUGAGCGUGCUUUCGAUACGGGUUGACUUGAGGAACGUAGGGGAGAAUGGAAUUCCUGGUGGAGCGGGUGGAAUGCGCAGAUAUCAGGGAGGAACACCAGUGGCGAAGGCGGUUCUCUGGGCCUUUCCUGACGCUGAGGAGCGAAAGCGUGGGGAGCGAACAGGCUUAGAUACCCUGGUAGUCCACGCUGUAAACGGUGGGUACUAGGUGUGGGGUCCAUUCCACGGGUUCCGUGCCGUAGCUAACGCUUUAAGUACCCCGCCUGGGGAGUACGGCCGCAAGGCUAAAACUCAAAGGAAUUGACGGGGCCCCGCACAAGCGGCGGAGCAUGCGGAUUAAUUCGAUGCAACGCGUAGAACCUUACCUGGGUUUGACAUGGAUCGGGAGUGCUCAGAGAUGGGUGUGCCUCUUUUGGGGUCGGUUCACAGGUGGUGCAUGGCUGUCGUCAGCUCGUGUCGUGAGAUGUUGGGUUAAGUCCCGCAACGAGCGCAACCCUUGUUCACUGUUGCCAGCACGUUAUGGUGGGGACUCAGUGGAGACCGCCGGGGUCAACUCGGAGGAAGGUGGGGAUGACGUCAAGUCAUCAUGCCCCUUAUGUCCAGGGCUUCACGCAUGCUACAAUGGCUGGUACAGAGAGUGGCGAGCCUGUGAGGGUGAGCGAAUCUCGGAAAGCCGGUCUCAGUUCGGAUUGGGGUCUGCAACUCGACCUCAUGAAGUCGGAGUCGCUAGUAAUCGCAGAUCAGCAACGCUGCGGUGAAUACGUUCCCGGGGCUUGUACACACCGCCCGUCAAGUCAUGAAAGUUGGUAACACCCGAAGCCGGUGGCCUAACCGUUGUGGGGGAGCCGUCGAAGGUGGGACUGGUGA